UUUUCUACAAAUCGGAAUGACUUGAAAUUUGGAGUGUGUGUUCAUCAAAAAUAGGCAAAUCUAAGAAAAAUAUCAAAAACAUAUUUUACAUAAAAAAUGUUAACCAAAAUACCCCCGAAAAGUUUCAGGGGUAUUUUGGUCAAUUUGUUUUUCAUGGAUUUUUUUUAUAUUUUUAUUAGGUGUGCCUCACUAAGAUGUACACAUGCUCCAAAUUUCAAUCAUUCCGAUUUGUAGAAAA
rnacentral:pre_miRNA from 1 species